rnacentral:snRNA from 12 species
AUACUUGCCUGACAGGAAGAUACCAUGAUAAUGAAGGUGGUUCCUCCAGGGCUGGGGUCAUCCAUUGCACCCUGAAUGUGGGAAACUCAACUGGGUAACUUGUGCUGGUAAGGGAUUGUGUUCACACUUUCCUCUG